GCGAGGUUUGGCGUAAUAGUAACGCGCCUCAUUUACGCUGAGGAGUUAUUCGUGCAAAGCGGAUCGCCUUGA
rnacentral:tRNA from 1 species